rnacentral:rRNA from 1 species
CAGCAGCCGCGGUAAUUCGUAGGGAGCAAGCGUUGUUCGGAAUUAUUGGGCGUAAAGAGCGCGUAGGCGGUUCGGUAAGUCUGAUGUGAAAUCCCAGAGCUUAACUCUGGAACUGCAUUGGAUACUGCCGAGCUUGAGUGUGGGAGAGGAGAGUGGAAUUCCCAGUGUAGAGGUGAAAUUCGUAGAUAUUGGGAGGAACACCCGUGGNGAAGGCGGCUCUCUGGACCACAACUGACGCUGAGGCGCGAAAGCUAGGGUAGCAAACGGGAUUAGAUACCCCGGUAGUCCUAGCCGUAAACGAUGGGCACUAGGUGUUGGAGGUAUCGACCCCUCCAGUGCCGCAGCUAACGCAUUAAGUGCCCCGCCUGGGGAGUNCGGUCGCANNNCGUAAAACUUAAAGGAAUUGNCGG